rfam:Drosophila melanogaster chromosome 3L.
GUAGACAUUUCACAUCAUUCGCCGGGAUUGCGCAAAUGUUGCUUUGAAGUGUUGCAAACAUGCGAAUCCUAAACUCGGUUCACAACUUCGUUGGCUUAGUUUCCUGGCUUAUAUCCUGGAAACCCGUCGAC